rnacentral:lncRNA from 1 species
CCACACGCGAAUACCUGGCUUAAAGGUCAUGUAACUGCCAGUCUAUCUGAUUUUCUCUUUCUGUAGCAUUCUGAAACAAGGCUAGUUCAUCCUCACUGUCAUGUUGUUUUUCUUUCUGUUUCUCUGCAGGGUUCUGGUCCUGGAUGUCCAUACCACAGACUUUUUAGUUUGAUCUCAGUUUCUGCUUGAACAAUGCAAGUGGAUCUGCUGGCAGGAAAAUGUCAUUGUGAAUCAGAGAAUUACUCCUUCCACAGGGUGCACCUUGUAGACAAUACACCAUGUCGCACUCUUCGUACCUGAAAGAGUUUUCCAGCAAUAAUACCUCAGUAGGCCAUGAAAGGUAGCCCAUGACACCUCCCUAAAGGACAGAGAUCAGGCAAGGGAAUAGGCUUUAAUGGACAGGAGAUGAGCACUGCAAGAGCACAGUAUCAAGAGGCUGAUACAAGCUCCAGAGCCACCCCAUCUCAAUUUGGCUACACUUCACAACCCAUGUGCAAGGGGCACAGAGCUAGGACUGCCAUGUUUUGAUCAGCAACAGCCCUUUUAUCCCAGGUCACUUUCCUGGCAACUGAGAGAGGGAUGCAUCAUUAUCGCAACCUGGAUCCUGAGUGAUGCUGAGUGAUGCUGUCCUGCUCUCCUGACAGUCUUAUACCCAAGGAUUGCCCUCCCACUUGUGUGUCUCAACACACUCCCUCACAUAGGAACUACUUCUCCAGGCCUCAGGAAAAAGGAAGUGGGGGACUGCUCAGAGCUGUGUCCAUGACAAAAGGCAUGAGAUCCCCAGAAAAGACAUCCUCCAUUUCUUACCAGUGACGUAGAGUUGAUUCCUCCAGCAGUCUGGAACAAUCUAGCAGCUUCUGUAUGAGAAUGAAUGAGCAGACUAGUGAACUAGACUCUUUUAGCUGGAAAAGAGACAAUUGAGGAGGACUAUUUAGGAGCCUGUAUGAUAGUAACACUGAGAGGGUAGAUGGUCACUGAUCACAGUCUCUUUUGAUACAAGGACUUGGGGGAAUGAAACUAAGUUGGGAAAUGAUAGGCUCAAGGUAAAUAAAAGGUAUGUAUUCUUCA